UGGGGAAUCUUGCACAAUGGGGGCAACCCUGAUGCAGCGACGCCGCGUGAGCGAUGAAGGUUUUCGAAUCGUAAAGCUCUGUCCUAUGGGAAGAUAAUGACGGUACCAUAGGAGGAAGCCCCGGCUAACUACGUGCCAGCAGCCGCGGUAAUACGUAGGGGGCGAGCGUUGUCCGGAAUUACUGGGCGUAAAGGGUUCGCAGGCGGCAUGGCAAGUCCGAUGUAAAAGGCGAAGGCUCAACCUUCGUAAGCAUCGGAAACUGUCAAGCUUGAGUGAAGGAGAGGCAAGGGGAAUUCCUAGUGUAGCGGUGGAAUGCGUAGAUAUUAGGAGGAAUACCGGUGGCGAAGGCGACUUGCUGGACUUCAACUGACGCUGAGGAACGAAAGCGUGAGUAGCAAACAGG
rnacentral:rRNA from 1 species